UUCCAUUGUAACUUUCCUUAUAGGGA
rnacentral:piRNA from 1 species